CGGACAAGAGGCCAGGGUAAGAAUUAAGGUUGCUGAGGCGAUAGCUAGCUUUCAUAUAUGGGUUGUAAUGAUUUGAAUCAAAUCAUUUUACUUCUGAGUUUCAAUUUCCUCCUGCAUCAGAGAAUCAGGACCUCUUUUCUACAGCCAAGUGCUGAUGGAGUGCAGUUGAUGAAUGUCCCCUCCGCUCUGGACUUACACAUCUGCCUUUUCUAGCAGGGACUUGCUUUUAGCAAAAGUCCUCAGGGGCUCAGUGUGGCUCAGCACUUUUAAGUUUACACGAAGCUUGCACGCCUACUGCUACUGUAAGUGUCGUAAUCUGUCCAAUGAGACAAGAGCCUGACGAGAUUCUCUCACUGGUGUCUGAGGAGACUGAGGCUCAGUCAGGUUUGCCGACUCAGCGAGGCAGGGAAGGAGCAGAGCUAAGGGUUCACACCUGUCAUCUCUGCAUCAUCAUCCUGUUCACACUUCCUACUCUAUCUUCCAGCCAAACUCCUGAGAGUGUAAUUGGCGAAACCAGCAGAAUGGAGGACAGACACUGUAGUGUUGGGCUGGUGUCACACUAUGGCUGUGGGGUGACAUCUGAGGAGCAUAUUAGGAAUGUACCCGAGUAGAAAGGAACCCACGCUGGUAUUCAACUUGGAAUCAUGAUGUUUUUCAUAUACUUGAUUUCAGUCUGCCACAGUGCACCAAGACUCAGGCUGCCAGGGAUCUGGACUCUCAUGUCAAGCAUAGCCUCCUCCCCAUGGACGUCCCCUGACAGGCCUAGCACCUCUGCCCCAGUUCUGUCCAAAGCUUCCACGCACGCUCACCCAGACAUUUCUUUCUGUUGUUGAUUUGACUCUGAGCAGACCUGUGAGGAUUCGUCUGACCCCUCUGCCUGUCAGCCCAGCCUCCAUUAGAAUGAGUGAGAAAGAACUUCAAAGAGAGAAAGAACUUUUGGAAAACUGUGAGCUGGACUUCCUAUCACAGAAAACAACCCUGUGUCAACAGUGUAGCAUCCGAAGUUACGGGAAAGGUGACAGAAAGCAACAGUGCUCAGCUACUUGAGUGCCAUGUUUCUCUGGCUAGUGGAAGGGCCUCCCUCUACUCGUUUGUACAGUUCUGGAGAAGCCCCAGUGGAUUUGGGAACUUGGGUUUUGCAUCCCAAGUCAACAGAAUUAAAAUAGCAAGUGGCACUAAUGGAACUCACUAGCAAGCCACACUUGCCCAGACACUUCUUAGAAUGUAGCGGAUCCACAUCUAAGCUGUUGUUCAGUGUUGUUUCAAUAAUAGAUUUCCUUGUUCACCAAAUCUUGAAUUGAACAUUUUAAGUAUUCAAGCUUGUUUGUGCACAUCUGCAAAUAAGCAAAAAUGUAUUCUUUCUCAAUUCAGCAGCCUGAACAAACACCCAGAACUUAGGAAUUCUUACUGUUGUGGCUUUCUUUCCAUAAAAUCUCACCUGCCCCAUUCCUUACCACUGAUAGAUUAUACCAACAUCUGGAAUGAGGUCUUUUUUUAUCAUUCUGUUUACCUGGUGGUAUCCUGCAGACUUGAAAUGCAAUGAGGCUCUAGGUCAUGUUUGCCAAAUGCAACUGCAUACUGCCAUUACAUGAUUUGUGAGACUAAGUUUUAAAAUGUCAACACAGCUUCUCCCUGGACCUAUCUUGAAUACUUGCAACUGAACUCUAGUUAUCAUGUUGUAAGGAGGCCUAAUCCACCUGGAGAAGCCACGACAGUACUUCUAUGAGCCCCUGUUGAGAAGCUGAGUUUCUACCUGUGAGCCUAUAUUGGUCUCUGGGCAUGAGUAAGCCUGUCUCACACCUUUGAACCAGUCCAGUAUGGCCUGUAAGGCAGAUUUGUCCUGCUGAGCCUCAUCCAAAUCAUUCAUUUGUAAACUAAACAGAUGGUUGUUGCUCUAUUUAACAAAUUUGGGGUGGUUUGUUAUAUGACACUACACACCCAGGAAAAUACCUAUUAUCUCUUCUGUUGUGAUUCAUAGGCAAGUUUUCUCCUUCUAACUGGACUCUACAUUCCUUAGAAUUUAGGGUUUUUCCCAAUCUAGAUUUCUAGAAUGCUCUUCCAUAUCAUACUACAUUUUAGUCAAUAUAAGUCCCUUGCUGCUCUUAUGCAUGGCCACAUAUUUUUAAUCUUCCUAUGCUUGCUAGUGCUAUGAUGCAGUGUGUAUCCAUGGAUUCUAUUACGUGCUUACCUAAAAUUUACUCGGUUUUGAGACCUAUCCAUCUAGAAUGUAGCAAUUCCUCUGUCAAGAGAGAUAUCACCUUAUGCCAUCUUAGAGUGAUGCAGAUGGCUUCCCUCAUCAGGAUCACAAAGGUCAACUUAUGUCACUGUGAGGUUUUCACAGGUGCUUCUCUAUUUCCAAGCUGUGAUAUCUGUCUUAGAUCCAGUUACAAGGAACAUAGUGAUGGGGCAUCUACUUCCUGCAUUCUGUGUACUCUGUAUGAAAAAUAGAGCAGAAAAAAUGGCAGAUCCAUUUCUUCUCUGAUAAGACCACUAGUCUAGUGAGAGAAAUAAAAUAAUCAAGCAAAUCACAAACUUUUAAUGAUAUUAAAAAGUUUGAAAAUCAUUCUCUAUUAGGUAGUUUAAGUAUAAUGGCCAAUCCAGAACUUAGUGUGAUCUCCUGGAGUUUUUUGUUUGUUUGUUUUGUUUUGUUUUGUUUUGUUUUGUUUUGUUUUGUUUUGUUUUGUUUUGGUUUGGUUUGGUUUGGUUUGGUUUGGUUUGGUUUGGUUUGGUUUGGUUUAUGGUUUGGGAAUUAGCGUUAGAAUCCCAUCAGUCCAGUCUCUGUUCUCUUUUCUUUAUUUUCUUCAAAGAAUGAAUAAAUGCAACCUUUUCUGACUCACAA